ACGAUGGAUACUAGGAGUUGGCAAAAAUAUUGUCGGUUCCGCAGUUAACGCAUUAAGUAUCCCACCUGGGGAGUACGACCGCAAGGUUAAAACUCAAAGGAAUUGACGGGGGCCCGCACAAGCAGUGGAGUAUGUGGUUUAAUUCGAAGCAACGCGAAGAACCUUACCAGGGCUUGACAUAUACAGGAAUAUAUAAGAGAUUAUAUAGCUCUACGGAGUCUGUAUACAGGUGGUGCAUGGCUGUCGUCAG
rnacentral:rRNA from 1 species